UACGUAGGGUGCAAGCGUUAAUCGGAAUUACUGGGCGUAAAGCGUGCGCAGGCGGUGAUGUAAGACAGUUGUGAAAUCCCCGGGCUCAACCUGGGAAUGGCAAUGGAGACUGCAAGGCUAGAGUUUGGCAGAGGGGGGUAGAAUUCCACGUGUAGCAGUGAAAUGCGUAGAUAUGUGGAGGAACACCGAUGGCGAAGGCAGCCCCCUGGGUCAAAACUGACGCUGAGGCACGAAAGCGUGGGGAGCGAACAGG
rnacentral:rRNA from 1 species